rnacentral:rRNA from 1 species
UGGGAACGUACCCUUUGGUUCGGGACAACUCCGGGAAACUGGAGCUAAUACCGUAUACGCCCUUUUGGGGAAAGGUUUACUGCCGAAGGAUCGGCCCGCGUCUGAUUAGCUAGUUGGUGGGGUAACGGCCCACCAAGGCGACGAUCAGUAGCUGGUCUGAGAGGAUGAUCAGCCACACUGGGACUGAGACACGGCCCAGACUCCUACGGGAGGCGG